rnacentral:rRNA from 1 species
GAUGAACGCUAGCGGCAGGCUUAACACAUGCAAGUCGAGGGGUAACAGGAGUAGCUUGCUACUUGCUGACGACCGGCGCACGGGUGCGUAACGCGUAUACAAUCUACCUUUUGCUGAGGGAUAGCCCAGAGAAAUUUGGAUUAACACCUCAUGGUAUGUAGGAAUGGCAUCAUUCUUAUAUUAAAGGUUACGGCAAAAGAUGAGUAUGCGUUCUAUUAGCUAGAUGGUGUGGUAACGGCACACCAUGGCAACGAUAGAUAGGGGCCCUGAGAGGGGGAUCCCCCACACUGGUACUGAGACACGGACCAGACUCCUACGGGAGGCAGCAGUGAGGAAUAUUGGGCAAUGGAGGCAACUCUGACCCAGCCAUGCCGCGUGCAGGAAGACUGCCCUAUGGGUUGUAAACUGCUUUUAUACAGGAAGAAACACUCCCUCGUGAGGGAGCUUGACGGUACUGUAAGAAUAAGGAUCGGCUAACUCCGUGCCAGCAGCCGCGGUAAUACGGAGGAUCCAAGCGUUAUCCGGAAUCAUUGGGUUUAAAGGGUCCGUAGGUGGAUAAUUAAGUCAGAGGUGAAAUCCUGCAGCUCAACUGUAGAAUUGCCUUUGAUACUGGUUAUCUUGAGUUAUUAUGAAGUAGUUAGAAUAUGUAGUGUAGCGGUGAAAUGCAUAGAUAUUACAUAGAAUACCGAUUGCGAAGGCAGAUUACUAAUAAUAUACUGACACUGAGGGACGAAAGCGUGGGGAGCGAACAGGAUUAGAUACCCUGGUAGUCCACGCCGUAAACGAUGGUCACUAGCUGUUCGGAACUUGUUUCUGAGUGGCUAAGCGAAAGUGAUAAGUGACCCACCUGGGGAGUACGUUCGCAAGAAUGAAACUCAAAGGAAUUGACGGGGGCCCGCACAAGCGGUGGAGCAUGUGGUUUAAUUCGAUGAUACGCGAGGAACCUUACCAGGGCUUAAAUGUAAGUUGCAUGAUUUAGAGAUAGAUCUUUCUUCGGACCACUUACAAGGUGCUGCAUGGUUGUCGUCAGCUCGUGCCGUGAGGUGUCAGGUUAAGUCCUAUAACGAGCGCAACCCCUGUUGUUAGUUGCCAGCGAGUCAUGUCGGGAACUCUAACAAGACUGCCAGUGCAAACUGUGAGGAAGGUGGGGAUGACGUCAAAUCGUCACGGCCCUUACGUCCUGGGCUACACACGUGCUACAAUGGUAGGUACAGAGAGCAGCCACUGGGUGACCAGGAGCGAAUCUAUAAAACCUAUCACAGUUCGGAUCGGAGUCUGCAACUCGACUCCGUGAAACUGGAAUCGCUAGUAAUCGGAUAUCAGCCAUGAUCCGGUGAAUACGUUCCCGGGCCUUGUACACACCGCCCGUCAAGCCAUGGAAGCUGGAAGUGCCUGAAGUCCGUCACCGCAAGGAGCGGCCUAGGGUAAAGUUGGUAACUAGGGCU